AUUGAACGCUGGCGGCAUGCUUUACACAUGCAAGUCGAGCGGCAGCGCGGGGGCAACCCUGGCGGCGAGCGGCGAACGGGUGAGUAAUGCAUCGGAACGUACCCUGGAGUGGGGGAUAACGCCGCGAAAGCGGCGCUAAUACCGCAUAUGCUCUGAGGAGGAAAGUGGGGGACCGCAAGGCCUCACGCUCUGGGAGCGGCCGAUGUCCGAUUAGCUAGUUGGUGAGGUAAAGGCUUACCAAGGCGACGAUCGGUAGCUGGUCUGAGAGGAUGGAUCAGCCACACUGGGACUGAGACACGGCCCAGACUCCUACGGGAGGCAGCAGUGGGAAUUUUGGACAAUGGGGGCAACCCUGAUCCAGCCAUGCCGCGUGAGUGAAGAAGGCCUUCGGGUUGGUAAA
rnacentral:rRNA from 1 species